CACGUAGGGCGCAAGCGUUGUCCGGAAUUAUUGGGCGUAAAGAGCUCGUAGGCGGUCUGUUGCGUCUGCUGUGAAAACUCGGGGCUUAACCCCGAGCCUGCAGUGGAUACGGGCAGACUAGAGGUAGGUAGGGGAGAAUGGAAUUCCCGGUGUAGCGGUGAAAUGCGCAGAUAUCGGGAGGAACACCGGUGGCGAAGGCGGUUCUCUGGGCCUUACCUGACGCUGAGGCACGAAAGCGUGGGGAGCAAACAGG
rnacentral:rRNA from 1 species